CCUACGGGUGGCAGCAGUGAGGAAUAUUGGUCAAUGGGCGAGAGCCUGAACCAGCCAAGUCGCGUGAAGGAUGAAGGCCCUACGGUUUGUAAACUUCUUUUGUCAGGGGGCAAUUGGUUCCACGCGUGGGCUUAGCGAGAGUACCUGACGAAAAAGCAUCGACUAACUCCGUGCCAGCAGCCGCGGUAAUAGGGAGGAUGCGAGCGUUAUCGGGAUUUAUUGGGUGUACGGGGAGCGUAGACGGCGUGCCAAGUCUGGGGUGAAAGGCCGGGGCUCAACCCCGGGACUGCAUUGGAAACGGGCGUGUUGGGGUGCGGGAGGGGCAAGCGGAAUGCCGGGUGUAGCGGUGAAAGGGGUAGAUAUUAGGAGGAAAACCGGGGGCGAAGGCGGCUUGCGGGACGGUAACUGACGUUGAGGCUCGAAAGCGUGGGGAGCAAACAGGAUUAGAUACCCUAUAGUC
rnacentral:rRNA from 1 species